GCUCAGACUGCUAAACACACCUGACUACAGGAGACAUUAGCUCAGACUGCUAAGCUACCUGAAUACUGGAGACAUUAGCUCAGACUGCUAAACACACCGGACUACAGGAGAAAUUAGCUCAGACUGGAGGACACACCUGACUUCAA